GGAUGCUGCAGUUAGCUGGGGGUCCACUCUACACCCUAGUUGCCUCAGUUUUUCCUGUACUUGGAGGUAUCAGCAGUGAAUGCUAUGAAACAGCAAAGAUGGCAGCCUGCCCCUUCCUCUGGAAGCUCCAUCCCAGGGCGGUACUGUCCUGUUGCCAGCAUGAGCACACAGUAUGUAGGGGGUGGCUGGAGGCCCCAGUUGGGACAUCUCACCUAGUCAGGAGGAACGGGAUCAGGGAUCCACUUAAAGAAGCAGUUGGGCUGUUUUUGAUACAGCAGUUGUGCUGUGUUGGAGAUCCCAUCAGCCCCUUGUUGGUUUGGGCUCUCCGAGGCCCACAGGUUGAACUGGCUGAGGUGCCCAAACAGCCAAGUUGGUGGCCCGCCUUCCCCUCUGGGCACUCUGUCCCAGGGAAAAAAUAGAACUCUGUUGGCCACAGAACAUGGGCGAGGGUGGCUGGAUAUCCCAGCUGGCAUGAUCUACCUGUCAAGGAAAAAUGGAUCAAGGUCCCACUUAAAGAAGCCAUCUGGCCAUGCCUCAAUAGAACAGCCUUGCUGUGCUGGGGAACUGCUUCUGCCCUUGUUGGCUUGGACUCUCUGAAACCCACUGGUUGGAAUGGCUGAGUCGUUCAAACAGCCAGCUUGGUGGCCCUCCCCUCCUCCCCCCCUUCCUUCCCCUCCUCCUUCCCUCCUCCCCUUCCCUCCCCUCCUCCUUCCCUCCUCCCCUCCCCUCAGGCAUGCUAUUCCAGAAAGAGAUCAGGAUCUGUUUGUGGAAUACAGGCAGAGAUGGCUGGAGGCCCCGGUUGGGAGGUCCCUCCCAGUGAGGAGGAAUGGAUUGGGGCCCCACUUAAAGAAGCAAUCUGGCCAUGUUCUGGCAAUGCCACUGUACUGUGCUGGGAAGACCCUUCCUUGUUUGAACCAUAUGGAUUCUCCAAAGCCCAUAGACUGGAAUGGCUGAGUCAACCAAACAGUAGAGAUGGCGGCCCACCCCUCCCACUGGGGACUCUGUCCCAUCACAGUAUGAAAGUUUUCAAGACGCCUACAAGUGGAAAAUGCACUCCUCCCAGCCAAAUCAAGCUUCGCCAGAUUCCUUACAGCUGUGUGCAGUGAAAUGACUAAUGAAAGAGCCCUCUGCUGCUGGUGGAACUUUCACAUAUGGCACUGUUAUGCCACUCAGCAGGACCCGACCCUGGUAUUUACAUAUUGGAUGUCACCCCAAAAGCCCCUGACCAGGGGGUUUCCGGGAUGUAAUAAGAAUGCCACUCUGGGCUUUGGAAGGUGCACCGUAUGCACACCCAUACUAUAGGGCAGGGGUUAGCAUUUCAGACCCCUGUUCCUCCCUUGACAAGCAAGUGCUUUUCUCCAGGGAAGACGUUCGGGUUCAUUCAUAGAUCCAUUGUUGCCGUGGGCAGCUCAGUAACAAUAGCUCUGCUGCCUACCAGCUGCUGGUGGAGGUGUUGAGAAUACCUAGAUGAGGAAGUCAGGGCCCCUGCGUGCUUCAGCAGAGCUGGAUGCCUGGCAUGGCAAUCAAUGGACACAAACCUUUGGAUAAUUUCCAUCCUUGGCGGUGUGUUCUGUAGCAUAGGUGUGAAGUGGGUGCUCUGGGAGCUCAGAAGAGGGGCUCUUCUCUUAAUUUAUGGGUGGCCAGGGAAGGCUUCCUGGAGCUCAAAUGACUGAGUGGAGUCUUCAACAUUAAAAAAAAAAAAAAAAAAAAAAAGUGCUUCCCUCCCACCCCUAGUUAAAAAGGUAAUACACCUCAUUGAAAUAAUUUAAACUUUACAGAAAUGUGUUCCUUUAAAGUUCAGAGAGUAAAGAGGAAGUAAUAAAGCUCAAAUAGUAGAAUUUCUAA
rnacentral:antisense_RNA from 1 species